CAGAAAGCGGGAGAACGUAUUUCCGUCUGAGUCCAUGAUACUGAGCGCUUUUCUGCCUAGAGAUUUGCCUGCACAUUGCACCACGACAUUGCACCACAUAACACACACAUUACGAAACCAACAGUUCUUUUAAGAACUCCUCUCUGUCUGUCUGUCUUUGUCUGACUGACUGACUGAUGGUCUGUCUGUCGGACUGACUGAUGGUCUGACUGACUGACUGUCUGUCUGUCCGACGGACCGUCUGUGUCCUUAUUUUCUCUUGUCAGGUGUACCACUGCUGAAAUUGACGGACCUGGAAACCGGGAACAGGGUUGCUUGCUAUGGGCCAGAGAAAUACCUUGAUACUUGCCUUUGUCAAACAUUUAUGGAAGCUUUUUUUUUUUUUUCUUUACAGAUCAAUUUUUUUUGCCUGGGGUGAAAAUAAAAAUCAAUGAUGCAAAGUCUUCUGUCUUUGGUUUAUUUGACUUAGCUAAUAUAAUUGAGUGUACGAAAUAAUAUGUGGCCUCAGA